rnacentral:rRNA from 1 species
GAUGAACGCUGGCGGCGUGUCUAACACAUGCAAGUCGAACGAAGCGUCUUAAAGGAAGUUUUCGGAUGGAAUUUGGGAUGACUGAGUGGCGGACGGGUGAGUAACGCGUGGAUAACCUGCCUCAUACAGGGGGAUAACAGCUAGAAAUGGCUGCUAAUACCGCAUAAGCGCACAGUGCCGCAUGGCAGUGUGUGAAAAACUCCGGUGGUAUGAGAUGGAUCCGCGUCUGAUUAGCCAGUUGGCGGGGUAACGGCCCACCAAAGCGACGAUCAGUAGCCGGCCUGAGAGGGCGACCGGCCACAUUGGGACUGAGACACGGCCCAAACUCCUACGGGAGGCAGCAGUGGGGGAUAUUGCACAAUGGGGGAAACCCUGAUGCAGCGACGCCGCGUGAGUGAAGAAGUAUUUCGGUAUGUAAAGCUCUAUCAGCAGGGAAGAAAAUGACGGUACCUGACUAAGAAGCCCCGGCUAACUACGUGCCAGCAGCCGCGGUAAUACGUAGGGGGCAAGCGUUAUCCGGAUUUACUGGGUGUAAAGGGAGCGUAGACGGCGAUGCAAGUCUGGAGUGAAAGCCCAGGGCUCGACCCUGGGGCUGCUUUGGAAACUGUAUGGCUAGAGUGCUGGAGAGGUAAGUGGAAUUCCUAGUGUAGCGGUGAAAUGCGUAGAUAUUAGGAGGAACACCAGUGGCGAAGGCGGCUUACUGGACAGUAACUGACGUUGAGGCUCGAAAGCGUGNGGAGCANACAGG